rnacentral:tRNA from 1 species
GUGGCAUUAGCUCAGUUGGUAGAGCCCCGGAUUGUGAUUCCGGUUGUCGUGGGUUCAAGUCCCAUAUGCCACCCCA